UACGUAGGGUGCAAGCGUUAAUCGGAAUUACUGGGCGUAAAGCGUGCGCAGGCGGUGAUGUAAGACAGUUGUGAAAUCCCCGGGCUCAACCUGGGAACUGCAUCUGUGACUGCAUGGCUAGAGUGUGUCAGAGGGGGGGUAGAAUUCCACGUGUAGCAGUGAAAUGCGUAGAUAUGUGGAGGAAUACCGAUGGCGAAGGCAGCCCCCCUGGGAUAACACUGACGCUCAUGCACGAAAGCGUGGGGGAGCAAACAGG
rnacentral:rRNA from 1 species